AAACCAUCUUCUAGGUCGGUUUGAUUAAACUUGUCUACUACUGGUUAGGGGCAGCCGCAAGGUCGGUUUCUGAUUAAAUUUUGCUCGUUUCUCAUCAAUCUUUGUAUUGGUUUGAUGUUUAGAAUUGUUGUUCUCAUUGGUUAAUGUAGGAUGUGAAGUGCCAAGGCUGCUUUAAUUAACAUUACGACGGUGUUCAGCCACUCGCAGACGGUUGUGGUAUGUGGAAACUGCCAGAGCGUGCUGUGCCAACCCACAGGAGGAAAGGCAAGGCUCACUGAAGGUUGCUCUUUCAGGAAAAAGUGAACAAGAUAUGACUCUCCACUCUCUCAGUCAGCAACAUCUUUUCUUUUAGUUCCUUUCUUCAUUCGUAAUUUCCUUUUGUCAAUUUUGGAUGAGUUUUUGAGCUAGUAUAAACCUUAACAACUUGACUUUUUGAAGCAUGUAAUCCUGGAAUUAAGUUAAAGUUUGCUAAUUUCUCAGUAUGCUUAUUAUA